UUUUCAUGUAAAAUUUACCCCUUCCCAUGGAAAUUCCUUGUAAAAAUUACCCUUCCCCAUGGAAUUUCCAUUCUAAAUUAGGCCUUCCCAUGAUAGAAUUUCCAUUUAAAAUAAUUGGCCCUGUCCAUGGAAUUUCCAUGUGUAAAUUACCCCUCCCUAUGGAAUUUCCAUCAUGGGACAUUUACUCCCGGAAAUUUCCCUCUAACAUAUGUCCUCCCAUGGAAUUUCCAUCCCAUCAAAUUUACCCCUUGGCCCUCCCUUUGGAAAUUCCAUGUGAGAAUUACUCCUCCCCUUGGAAAUCCAGAGCCUGAAUGAUCACAGAGAUCAUCCUUGAACAGUGCGAAGUUCGCAAUGCAAUCAACAGUCUGAAUCCCAAUAAAGCCUUUGGUCCUGACAACAUACCCACACGUUUAUUGAAGGAAUG